CAACCUCCACCUCCCAUGUUAAAACAAUUCUCCUGCCUCAGCCUCCUGAGUAGCUGACGCAAGAGAACUGCUUGAACCCAGGAGGCAGAGGCUGCAGUGAGUCGAGAUCACACCACUGCACUCCAGCCUUGGUAACAAAAGCAAAACUCCAUCUCAAACAAACAAACAAAAAAAUUCAGAAAAUAUUUUAGCUGCUAAAAUGAAGUAUAAAUUAACUACGUAGUAUUGAUGCCAUGAGAUGAACUUUAAAAAACACUUUCUAAUCCCAGCACUUUGGGAGGCUGAGGCAGGUGGAUCACUUGAGCCCAGGAGUUCAAGACCAGCCUGGGCAACGUGGCAAGCCCCAUCUCUACAAAAGAAACCAAAAAAAUUAUCCAAGUGUGGUGGUGGGCACCUAUAGUCCCAGCUACUCGGGAGGCUGAGGUAGAAGCAUUGCUUGAACCCGGGAGGUCAAGGCUGCAGUGAGCUGUGAUUGCACCACUGCACUCCAGCCUGGGCAAGACCCGGUCUCAAAAAAAGUAAAUAAAAUAAAUAAAAAGUAAAUAAAUAAAACUUUCUUAAUUAACCUUGCCAUAAAUGUAAAUGCCCUGGCCAAUAAUCUGAUUAUUUAAAAAACAAACAAACACACAAGAACACCUUGCUCUUUCUCCUUGCCAGCAGUGGGCAAAUUUUAUGUGAUACUCCACAUACUGUGUGUACGUGUGUCUGUGUGUGUACGUGCGUGUCUCUCUGUCUUUCUUCUUCUCUUCUCCUCUUUCUCUCUUCUUCUCUCCACUUUCUCCCUCUGUCCUUCCCUCCCAGAGCGACACAUUAUAUUUGCAGAUCCUAGUUAGGAAAGUGAUUCCAUGAAGGCAGAGAGUAGUCCUGGAGAAUGCAGGUAUCCUUUUCUUCAAAAAAAAAUACAUUGAUAGAAAGGCAUCUAGCUCUCUGUGACAUCCUGUUCAAAGAAGAGAAAAUAGAAGGGAAAUGACCUCCCUGUGUUCUGUUUGCUGUCCUGCAGGCCCCUUCAAUUUUCUGAUAACUCGAGUCUCCUAGGCACCUCUGGGGGAACUGAAAGUAGCCUAAGAUAUCUUCUGGGUUAAAUAUGGUGCAAACAGAAGCCACAUUCAUGACUUCUAGAGAAUUCAAGCAGGUCUGAGACAUCUAAACCAAGGAAAUGUAUUCGAAAAAAACUCAUCAAAAGAUCCCACAGUGAAAAACCCAUUUGGUGACCUGAUGUUAAAUCCGACUUUUCGGAAGCAGGAGGAUCACUUGAGACUGGGAGGUUGAGGCUGCAGUGAGCUGUGAUCGCACCAUUGCACUCCAGCCUGGAUGACAGAGUAAGACCCUGUCUCAAAAAACAAAAAAACAAAAAAGAAGCCCACUUUUUGGCUGGGCAAAGUGACUCACACCUGUAAUCCCAAUAUUUUUGGGGAGGCUGAAGUGGGAGGAUCGCUUGAGCCCAUGAAUUCAAGACUAGCCUGGACAACACAGCAAGACCCCAUCUCUACCAAAAAAAAAAGAAAGAAAGAAAGAAAGAAAAUUAGCCAAGUGUGGUGGCACGCCUGUAGUCCCAGCUACUCAGGAAGCUGAGGCAGGAGGAUCACUUGAGCCCAGGAGUUCGAGGCUAUAAUGAGUUAUGAUCACACCACUGCAUUCCAGCCUGGGUGACAGAGCAAGACUCCGUCUCAAAUAAAAAUUCCAUUUUUC
rnacentral:lncRNA from 10 species